rnacentral:snRNA from 1 species
AUGGCUCAUUUCGGCCACACAUGUACUAAAAUUAGGACAAAAAAGAGGAGAUUAGAAUGGCCCCGGGCAAGGCUGACAUGAAAAUUUGUGAAGCGUUCCAUAUUAAA